AAUAGAUACCCUGGUAGUCCACGCCCUAAACGAUGCGAACUGGACGUUGGGCACAUUACGGUGCUCAGUGUCGAAGCUAACGCGUUAAGUUCGCCGCCUGGGGAGUACGGUCGCAAGACUGAAACUCAAAGGAAUUGACGGGGGCCCGCACAAGCGGUGGAGUAUGUGGUUUAAUUCGAUGCAACGCGAAGAACCUUACCUGGCCUUGACAUCUGUCGAAUCCUGCAGAGAUGCGGGAGUGCCGCAAGGAACGACAAGACAGGUGCUGCAUGGCUGUCGUCAGCUCGUGUCGUGAGAUGUUGGGUUAAGUCCCGCAACGAGCGCAACCCUUGUCCCUAGUUGCCAACGAGUAAAGUCGGGAACUCUAGGGAGACUGCCGGUGACAAACCGGAGGAAGGUGGGGAUGACGUCAAGUCCUCAUGGCCCUUACGGCCAGGGCUACACACGUACUACAAUGGUCGGUACAGAGGGUUGCGAAGCCGCGAGGUGGAGCCAAUCCCAGAAAGCCGAUCUCAGUCCGGA
rnacentral:rRNA from 1 species